rnacentral:rRNA from 1 species
AUAACUGCAGACGGUGGAUCGCUCGG